GGGGUUGGACUUGUUGAGUACUUUUGUACUCACCCUUGUUUUUUUCUUUAGAGGAAGAUUCGGACUUCGUCGCCGAGGAUUUCGAGUAGGAGGUCGUUUCCGCACCCAACACUACCUAUAGUGUUGGCCUUUGUAGAAUGCUUCCGCUGCCGUGUAGUCCCGAAUGCUGUCUCUUGACAGUAGCUUGGCUCGCUGCUAUUGUUUAUUUACUUAUCGUUUCGGCAUGGCUUUCGCGCCCACUCCCUCGGGAGUUGUAC
rnacentral:lncRNA from 1 species